rnacentral:rRNA from 1 species
CCUACGGGAGGCAGCAGUGGGGAAUAUUGCACAAUGGGCGAAAGCCUGAUGCAGCAACGCCGCGUGAGGGAUGAAGGCCUUCGGGUUGUAAACCUCUUUUAGUUGGGAAGAAGCGAAGGUGACGGUACCAACAGAAAAAGCACCGGCUAACUACGUGCCAGCAGCCGCGGUAAUACGUAGGGUGCAAGCGUUGUCCGGAAUUAUUGGGCGUAAAGAGCUCGUAGGCGGUUUGUCGCGUCUGCUGUGAAAAUCCGAGGCUCAACCUCGGACCUGCAGUGGGUACGGGCAGACUAGAGUGCGGUAGGGGAGAAGGGAAUUCCUGGUGUAGCGGUGGAAUGCGCAGAUAUCAGGAGGAACACCAAUGGCGAAGGCACUUCUCUGGGCCGUAACUGACGCUGAGGAGCGAAAGCGUGGGGAGCGAACAGGAUUAGAUACCCUGGUAGUCCACGCCGUAAACGGUGGGUGCUAGUUGUGGGUCACAUUCCACGUGAUCCGUGACGCAGCUAACGCAUUAAGCACCCCGCCUGGGGAGUACGGUCGCAAGACUAAAACUCAAAUGAAUUGACGG